AACGAACGCUGGCGGCAGGUCUUAGGCAUGCAAGUCGAACGGGUGUAGUAAUACACCAGUGGCGAACGAGUGAGUAACGCGUGGGAAUCUGCCCAUCUCUGGGGAAUAACGUUUGGAAACGAACGCUAAUACCGCAUACGCCCGCAAGGUGAAAGAUUUAUCGGAGAUGGAUGAGCCCGCGUUGGGUUAGUUAGUUGGUGGGGUAACGGCCUACCAAGGCGAUGAUCCAUAGCUGGUCUGAGAGGACGAUCAGCCACGCUGGAACUGAGAUACGGUCCAGACUCAUACGGGAGGCAGCAGCUAAGAAUAUUGGGCAAUGGAGGAAACUCUGACCCAGCCAUGCCGCGUGAAUGAAGAAGGCCUUCGGGUUGUAAAGUUCUUUUAGUCGUGACGAUGAUGACGGUAGCGACAGAAAAAGCACCGGCUAACUUCGUGCCAGCCGCCGCCGUAA
rnacentral:rRNA from 1 species